rnacentral:tRNA from 1 species
GGUUCCAUAGUGUAGGAGUUAGCACGUCUGCUUUACACACAGAAGGUCCUGGGUUUGUGCCCCAGUGGAGCCA